rnacentral:rRNA from 1 species
ACCAGACUCCUACGGGAGGCAGCAGUGGGGGAUAUUGCACAAUGGGGGAAACCCUGAUGCAGCGACGCCGCGUGGGUGAAGAAGCGCCUCGGCGCGUAAAGCCCUGUCAGCAGGGAAGAAAAUGACGGUACCUGAAGAAGAAGCCCCGGCUAACUACGUGCCAACAGCCGCGGUAAUACGUAGGGGGCAAGCGUUAUCCGGAUUUACUGGGUGUAAAGGGAGCGUAGACGGCAGUGCAAGUCCGGAGUGAAAGCCCGGGGCUCAACCCUGGGACUGCUCUGGAAACUGUAAAGCUGGAGUGCGGGAGGGGCAGGCGGAAUUCCUGGUGUAGCGGUGAAAUGCGUAGAUAUCAGGAGGAACACCGGCGGCGAAGGCGGCCUGCUGGACCGUAACUGACGUUGAGGCUCGAAAGCGUGGGGAGCAAACAGGAUUAGAUACCCGAGUAAAC